rnacentral:rRNA from 1 species
UACGUAGGGGGCGAGCGUUGUCCGGAGUUACUGGGCGUAAAGGGCACGCAGGCGGUGCGGCGCGUUUCGCGUGACAGCGCAGGGCUUAACUCUGCGAGGGUGCGAAAGACGGCGGCACUCGAGGGCCAGAGAGGGACACGGAAUUCCGGGUGGAGUGGUGAAAUGCGUAGAGAUCCGGAGGAACACCGAAGGCGAAGGCAGUGUCCUGGCUGGCGACUGACGCUGAGGUGCGAAAGCCAGGGGAG